UACGGGGGGAGCAAGCGUUGUUCGGAUUUACUGGGCGUAAAGGGCGCGUAGGCGGCGCAACAAGUCACUUGUGAAAUCUCCGGGCUUAACCCGGAGCGGUCAAGUGAUACUGUCGUGCUAGAGUGCGGAAGGGGCUACUGGAAUUCUCGGUGUAGCGGUGAAAUGCGUAGAUAUCGGAGAGGAACACCUGGCGGCGAAGGCGGGUAGCUGGGCCGACACUGACGCUGAUGCGGCGAAAGCCAGGGGAGCGAACGGG
rnacentral:rRNA from 1 species